rnacentral:rRNA from 1 species
GACAGAGGGUGCAAACGUUGUUCGGAAUUACUGGGCGUAAAGCGCGUGUAGGCUGUUCUGCAAGUCGGGUGUGAAAGCCCCGGGCUCAACCUGGGAAGUGCACUCGAAACUGCAGAACUCGAGUCCCGGAGAGGAAGGCGGAAUUCUCGGUGUAGAGGUGAAAUUCGUAGAUAUCGAGAGGAACACCGGUGGCGAAGGCGGCCUUCUGGACAGUGACUGACGCUGAGACGCGAAAGCUAGGGGAGCAAACGGG